CUUCAUCGCCAUCAGUACUGCACAGCCACAUAAUUCACGAUCUUCAUCAUUCAAAUUGUAGUAUACUUCACAGGUGACCAUUGCCUUAUUGGGG